rnacentral:rRNA from 1 species
UCGGGAAUAUUGCGCAAUGGAGGGAACUCUGACGCAGUGACGCCGCGUAUAGGAAGAAGGUUUUCGGAUUGUAAACUAUUGUCGUUAGGGAAGAAAAAAGACAGUACCUAAGGAGGAAGCCCCGGCUAACUAUGUGCCAGCAGCCGCGGUAAUACAUAGGGGGCAAGCGUUAUCCGGAAUUAUUGGGUGUAAAGGGUGCGUAGACGGGUGUUUAAGUUGGUUGUGAAAUCCCUCGGCUCAACUGAGGAACUGCAACCAAAACUGGAUAUCUUGAGUGUCGGAGAGGAAAGUGGAAUUCCUAGU